rnacentral:lncRNA from 1 species
CGCUCGGUCCUGGGAGGGCGGGGGAGGAGGGGUCCUGUCCCCACCUCUGCUCUUCUGAAGGGUGCGCGUCGCUUGCUGCCGCUUGGCUUUCGGCGGGGACCCAGUGCCCACUGUCUCCGGUUUUCCGCGAUACGCAUCCUUUGUGGACCGUACUAUGGAAACGACAGAAAGACGCUUUCGUCCUGUUCGGUGCACCCUGCCUUGAGUUCCAUUCUGUCUGAUGAUAACUUUAGCGUGUCUGCUCUGCUGGUUGGCAGUCGUCUGGUAUACGUUUUAUUCUUCAUGUUUCACCAUCUUUUAGGUUGUCCCUUAUCACCAUGGGACGGGGUCACGCCUGCACUCGAUUUGAGAGUCUCCGUCUUUAAACAGAAGCCAUCCAGCCGGCCGCUGUGCCUUGGGGCCCACGUGCCGUGGUCCAGCCCUCCCUCCCACACGUCCUAUCUUCACAUUCCCCAGCUCUGUGUUUCUUGGCCAUUGCUGGAUGGAGCUUUCUCCGUUCCAUUUCUCCCUCUGGAAAGUUAUCUAUCCAAUUUCUAGUGGUUACCCUAAUUUUUAAAAAUAGGUUACCCAGGUUUUAAAAUAGUACAUGCUCAUUAUAAAAACUUCAGGCAACACGAAAUGAAAGGAGAGGAUUAAAAUCUAAAACGCUGCCACGCACUCCCUGGUGAACGCAACACAGCUCCCAACACCUGCAAACCGUCCCUGGAGGAAGAGCGGACAGGCAAGUGGGCAGAGCCGACUGCAGAAGCGGCUUCCCACAGCAGACGCGAGUCUCCACCAAGACUUUUACGUUGUGCUCUAAACAGAUUUUUUUGAAGUGAAAGUGGAGAAAUUGCUAAAAUAUGUUCUUCCUUCUCGAAAGUUCCUCUAAGAUCCCACCAAACCAGGAUAGGGAGGAGAAAUUACAAGAACACAGUAAGAGGUUGGAGUACUGAGAGGUCGCGUGGCUUUCCUUCUAAAGCCCUGUAUUUACUCAUUGGCCCUGGGUGUGAGGAAACUUCCUGCCUCUCUGCCCCGCUCCUGAGCAUCAUGAAGAGCCUGCCCGCCACACUCUCGGUCCCCUGCACCUGCCCGUUGUUCCCGCACGGCCGUCUCCGCCCUGCGUCCCCAGCUCCCGUGGGAACUGCCCGGCUUGACUGCGUUUUGCGGUCAUGUGGCCCUGUGUUGGUCGUUCCAGGUCCUUUCAGGCUUUGAAUGCAACUGACAUUUUCCUUCCAUUUUAUUUUCUUUAUUGUGGUAAAAAUACUCAUAACGUGAAAUGUACCAUCUUAGCCAUCUUUCAGUAUGAGAUCAGUGGCUUUAAGUACCUUCACACUGCUAUCCAAACCAUCACCACCAUCACCUCCAAAACUCCAUCACCACAUCACCUCCAA